GCAGAUGUGGCGGAAUGGCAGACGCACUAUCUUGAGGGGGUAGCGAGUGUAUUCUCGUGCGGGUUCAAGUCCCGCCAUCUGCACCA
rnacentral:tRNA from 3 species